AGAUUGAACGCUGGCGGCAUGCCUAACACAUGCAAGUCGAACGGCAGCGCGGGUAGCAAUACCUGGCGGCGAGUGGCGGACGGGUGAGGAAUACAUAGGAAUCUACCCUGUCGUGGGGGAUAACGUAGGGAAACUUACGCUAAUACCGCAUACGACCGAGAGGUGAAAGCGGCGGACCGCAAGGCGUCGCGCGGCUGGAUGAGCCUAUGUCCGAUUAGCUAGUUGGCGGGUAAGAGCCCACCAAGGCGACGAUCGGUAGCUGGUCUGAGAGGAUGAUCAGCCACACUGGGACUGAGACACGGCCCAGACUCCGUACGGGAGCAGCAGGUGGGAAUAGUUGGACAAGUGGGCG
rnacentral:rRNA from 1 species